CACGUAGGGGGCAAGCGUUGUCCGGAUUUAUUGGGCGUAAAGCGCGUGUAGGCGGCCACGCAGGUCCGCUGUGAAAACUCGAGGCUCAACCUCGAGCUGUCGGUGGAAACCGCGUGGCUAGAGUCCGGAGGAGGGGACUGGAAUUCCCGGUGUAGCGGUGGAAUGCGCAGAUAUCGGGAGGAACACCCGUGGCGAAGGCGGGUCCCUGGGACGGUACUGACGCUGAGACGCGAAAGCGUGGGGAGCGAACAGG
rnacentral:rRNA from 1 species